rnacentral:rRNA from 1 species
AUUGAACGCUGGCGGCAGGCUUAACACAUGCAAGUCGAGCGGAGAUGAGGUGCUUGCACCUUAUCUUAGCGGCGGACGGGUGAGUAAUGCUUGGGAAUCUGCCUAUUAGUGGGGGACAACAUUCCGAAAGGAAUGCUAAUACCGCAUACGUCCUACGGGAGAAAGCAGGGGAUCUUCGGACCUUGCGCUACUAGAUGAGCCUAAGUCGGAUUAGCUAGUUGGGGGGGUAAAGGCCUACCAAGGCGACGAUCUGUAGCGGGUCUGAGAAGAUGAUCCGCCACACUGGGACUGAGACACGGCCCAGACUCCUACGGGAGGCAGCAGUGGGGAAUAUUGGACAAUGGGGGGAACCCUGAUCCAGCCAUGCCGCGUGUGUGAAGAAGGCCUUAUGGUUGUAAAGCACUUUAAGCGAGGAGGAGGCUACUGAGACUAAUACUCUCGGAUAGUGGACGUUACUCGCAGAAUAAGCACCGGCUAACUCUGUGCCAGCCGCCGCGGUAACAC